rnacentral:rRNA from 1 species
CAGGCCUAACACAUGCAAGUCGAACGGCAGCACGGACUUCGGUCUGGUGGCGAGUGGCGAACGGGUGAGUAAUGUAUCGGAACGUGCCCAGUAGCGGGGGAUAACUACGCGAAAGCGUAGCUAAUACCGCAUACGCCCUACGGGGGAAAGCAGGGGAUCGCAAGACCUUGCACUAUUGGAGCGGCCGAUAUCGGAUUAGCUAGUUGGUGGGGUAACGGCUCACCAAGGCGACGAUCCGUAGCUGGUUUGAGAGGACGACCAGCCACACUGGGACUGAGACACGGCCCAGACUCCUACGGGAGGCAGCAGUGGGGAAUUUUGGACAAUGGGGGAAACCCUGAUCCAGCCAUCCCGCGUGUGCGACGAAGGCCUUCGGGUUGUAAAGCACUUUUGGCAGGAAAGAAACGUCAUGGGUUAAUACCCCGUGAAACUGACGGUACCUGCAGAAUAAGCACCGGCUAACUACGUGCCAGCAGCCGCGGUAAUACGUAGGGUGCAAGCGUUAAUCGGAAUUACUGGGCGUAAAGCGUGCGCAGGCGGUUCGGAAAGAAAGAUGUGAAAUCCCAGAGCUUAACUUUGGAACUGCAUUUUUAACUACCGGGCUAGAGUGUGUCAGAGGGAGGUGGAAUUCCGCGUGUAGCAGUGAAAU